UACGGAGGGGGCUAGCGUUGUUCGGAAUUGCUGGGCGUAAAGCGCACGUAGGCGGCUUUGUAAGUUAGAGGUGAAAGCCCAGGGCUUAACCCUGGAAUUGCCUUUAAGACUGCAUCGCUCGAAUUGUGGAGAGGUGAGUGGAAUUCCGAGUGUAGAGGUGAAAUUCGUAGAUAUUCGGAAGAACACCAGUGGCGAAGGCGGCUGACUGGACAUGUAUUGACGCUGAGGUGCGAAAGCGUGGGGAGCAAACAGG
rnacentral:rRNA from 1 species